GCAUUGAAUGAAAGAACAGAAUGCUAACACUCUACUUGAUAUGGAGAAAUGGGGCUCCAAAGAGGAUAUUAACACAAAUGGCUAGUGCAUCGCCAUUGAUAUAUGGGAUAUAACCAAAAUUUAGA